UGGGGAAUAUUGGACAAUGGGGGGAACCCUGAUCCAGCCAUGCCGCGUGUGUGAAGAAGGCCUUAUGGUUGUAAAGCACUUUAAGCGAGGAGGAGGGUACUGGUAUUAAUACUACCAGGUACUGGACGUUACUCGCAGAAUAAGCACCGGCUAACUCUGUGCCAGCAGCCGCGGUAAUACAGAGGGUGCGAGCGUUAAUCGGAUUUACUGGGCGUAAAGCGUGCGUAGGCGGCUAAUUGAGUCGGAUGUGAAAUCCCCGAGCUUAACUUGGGAAUUGCAUUCGAUACUGGUUAGCUAGAGUGUGGGAGAGGAUGGUAGAAUUCCAGGUGUAGCGGAGAAAUGCGUAGAGAUCUGGAGGAAUACCGAUGGCGAAGGCAGCCAUCUGGCCUAACACUGACGCUGAGGUACGAAAGCGUGGGGAGCAAACAGG
rnacentral:rRNA from 1 species